AACGCACCUUGCACCUUUUGGUUAUUCCGAAAGGUACACCUGUUUGAGUGUCAUGAAACCCUCUCAUUCCAAUUCUUUAUUUAUUUAAAGGGUUGUGAUAUGGAUGUUGAGUGCUGCCGUUAUUGGCUCGCUUUAAAUAUAUAAGUACUUUUAUUGAACAAUAAAUGGAUUUACUUGGUGUAAUAUUUAUUAUUCAUUGAGGAGUGUGGUUUAAUUACUGCAGCCAUUUGCCUUUUGAUAGAUAGCUUCCGAACCCCAACUAUUUAUGUAUUUAGACCUCAAAUCAGGUGGGACUACCCGCUGAACUUAA
rnacentral:misc_RNA from 1 species